CCACUGUUCAAAGGGAGAAGGAGGAGGAGCAGAGAAAUAUCGCCAUAACUUUCUGCACUGAGUUUCUCCAGAGUCCUUCCAUUGAGACAAUACUGACAAAAUCAGAGCUCCAGGCACAGCUCAUGGAAUGGACCCAAGAUAAAAACCCCAUUGUACGUCGGCUCAGUCUGCGAGGCCUUGGCAGUAUUGUGCUCCAGCCAGAAAAGGUGCACUCGUUACGGGCCCAGCUGCCAGCGAUCAUGGACAUGUUCUGUGACACGGAUAGAGGGCGUGUCAUGGGAGCCAUGCAUCAAGCUGCAGACAUCAUCUACCUCCUGGAUGGGGAGGG